GCAAACUUGGUCAUUUAGAGGAAGUAAAAGUCGUAACAAGGUUUCCGUAGGUGAACCUGCGGAAGGAUCAUUAAUGAAAUUCACAGAGAUUUUGAUGCCUGCGGUUCUGCUGCGUGUGCUCAUCUCUAUAAUUUUAUCCUUACACCUGUGAACAUUGGCAAGCGAGAGGAUUUAUCCUAUUUGCUUGUUUUAUAAACACUGAUAACAUUAAGAAUAUUCAAGUCGCAAGACUUAAAAACAUAUAAACAACUUUUAACAACGGAUCUCUUGGCUCUCGCAUCGAUGAAGAACGCAGC
rnacentral:misc_RNA from 1 species